rnacentral:rRNA from 1 species
CUUGGACAGGACAUUAAUGGAUUAGUGAUGGGAGCUCGAUGCUGAGUGGUCAUUUCUUGGCUGCAUUGUGCUCGCUUCUUAGCAAUAUUUGUCCAAACACUUGUGCACCUUAUGAGGGGUUUCCAGGUUGAUCUUGGAUUACCCUUUCACACACCCUAAUAUUUCAAUGUUGAACGUGUAUGUGCCAUCAUGGCCUUAAUAUAUAAUACAACUUUUAACAACGGAUCUCUUGGCUCUCGCAUCGAUGAAGAACGCAGCGAAAUGCGAUAAGUAAUGUGAAUUGCAGAAUUCAGUGAAUCAUCGAAUCUUUGAACGCACCUUGCGCCCCCCGGUAUUCCAGGGAGCACACCUGUUCGAGUGUCGUGACAUUCUCAAGCUGGAUGCUUUUUUCCUUUAAAAAGUUUUAUCCUAGCUUGGUUUUGGGCAUUGCGGUGCCCCCUUUAUUGGGGAACCGCUGGCCUUAAAAGUAUUAGCUGGCCCUCGUGUGGGAUUGGUUAUCCUCAGCGUGAUAAUAAUUUGUGACUGCUGGGGACAUCUUUCAGGAUGGCCAAGUUCCGCUCAAGGGUUGCUUCUAAUCUGUGGUUUCUAUAUUCUUUGAAUAUGGUCCCCACUUGCUCACAAUUCAGGCCUCGAAUCAGGUGGGAUUACCCGCUGAACUUAAGCAUAUCAUA